CCUCAGUGUCAGUAUCAGUCCAGGUGGUCGCCUUCGCCACUGGUGUUCCUUCCUAUAUCUACGCAUUUCACCGCUACACAGGAAAUUCCACCACCCUCUACCAUACUCUAGCUUGUCAGUUUUGAAUGCAGUUCCCAGGUUGAGCCCGGGGCUUUCACAUCCAACUUAACAAACCACCUACGCGCGCUUUACGCCCAGUAAUUCCGAUUAACGCUUGCACCCUCUGUAUUACCGCGGCUGCUGGCACAGAGUUAGCCGGUGCUUAUUCUGUCGGUAACGUCAAAAUUGCAGAGUAUUAAUCUACAACCCUUCCUCCCAACUUAAAGUGCUUUACAAUCCGAAGACCUUCUUCACACACGCGGCAUGGCUGGAUCAGGCUUUCGCCCAUUGUCCAAUAUUCCCCACUGCUGCCUCCCGUAGGAGUCUGGACCGUGUCUCAGUUCCAGUGUGACUGAUCAUCCUCUCAGACCAGUUACGGAUCGUCGCCUUGGUGAGCCAUUACCUCACCAACUAGCUAAUCCGACCUAGGCUCAUCUGAUAGCGCAAGGCCCGAAGGUCCCCUGCUUUCUCCCGUAGGACGUAUGCGGUAUUAGCGUUCCUUUCGAAACGUUGUCCCCCACUACCAGGCAGAUUCCUAGGCAUUACUCACCCGUCCGCCGCUGAAUUCAGGAGCAAGCUCCUGUCAUCCGCUCGACUUGCAUGUGUUAGGCCUGCCGCCAGCGUUCAAU
rnacentral:rRNA from 1 species